GACGAACGCUGGCGGCGUGCUUAACACAUGCAAGUCGAACGAAGUGGCGAACGGGUGAGUAACGCGUAAUCAACCUGCCCUUCAGAGGGGGACAACAGUUGGAAACGACUGCUAAUACCGCAUACUGAAGGAGGGGAUUGCGUCUGAUUAGCUGGUUGGGGGGGUAACGGCCCACCAAGGCGAGGAUCAGUAGCCGGUCUGAGAGGAUGGACGGCCCCAUUGGGACUGAGACACGGCCCAGACUCCUACGGGAGGCAGCAGGGGGGAAUCUUCCGGAAUGGACGAAAGUCCGAAGGAGCCACGCCGCGUGAGUGAUGAAGGCCUUCGGGUUGUAAAGCUCUGUUAAUCGGGACGCGGUACCGGAAUAGAAAGCCACGACUAACUACGUGCCAGCCGCCGCGGUAAUAC
rnacentral:rRNA from 1 species